rnacentral:rRNA from 1 species
UCGAGCGCACUCUUCGGAGUGAGCGGCGGACGGGUUAGUAACGCGUGGGAACAUACCCUUUUCUAUGGAAUAGCCUCGGGAAACUGAGAGUAAUACCAUAUACGCCCUUCGGGGGAAAGAUUUAUCGGUGAAGGAUUGGCCCGCGUAAGAUUAGAUAGUUGGUGGGGUAAUGGCCUACCAAGUCUACGAUCUUUAGCUGGUUUGAGAGGAUGAUCAGCAACACUGGGACUGAGACACGGCCCAGACUCCUACGGGAGGCAGCAGUGGGGAAUCUUAGACAAUGGGCGCAAGCCUGAUCUAGCCAUGCCGCGUGAGUGACGAAGGCCUUAGGGUCGUAAAGCUCUUUCGCCAGAGAUGAUAAUGACAGUAUCUGGUAAAGAAACCCCGGCUAACUCCGUGCCAGCAGCCGCGGUAAUACGGAGGGGGUUAGCGUUGUUCGGAAUUACUGGGCGUAAAGCGUACGUAGGCGGAUUGGAAAGUAGGGGGUGAAAUCCCAGGGCUCAACCCUGGAACUGCCUCCUAAACUACUAGUCUAGAGUUCGAGAGAGGUGAGUGGAAUUCCAAGUGUAGAGGUGAAAUUCGUAGAUAUUUGGAGGAACACCAGUGGCGAAGGCGGCUCACUGGCUCGAUACUGACGCUGAGGUACGAAAGUGUGGGGAGCAAACAGGAUUAGAUACCCUGGUAGUCCACACCGUAAACGAUGAAUGCCAGACGUCGGGG